AAAAAGGUAAGCUAAGUUAAGCUAUUAGGUUCAUACCCUGAUUAUAGAAGAAAAUCUUCUCCUUUUUA
rnacentral:tRNA from 1 species